AUUGAACGCCGGCGGCAUGCUUUACACAUGCAAGUCGAACGGUAACAGGUUAAGCUGACGAGUGGCGAACGGGUGAGUAAUGCAUCGGAACGUGCCCGGUCGUGGGGGAUAACGCAGCGAAAGCUGCGCUAAUACCGCAUACGAUCUAAGGAUGAAAGCGGGGGACCGUAAGGCCUCGCGCGAUCGGAGCGGCCGAUGUCAGAUUAGGUAGUUGGUGGGGUAAAGGCUCACCAAGCCAACGAUCUGUAGCUGGUCUGAGAGGACGACCAGCCACACUGGGACUGAGAAACGGCCCAGACUCCUACGGGAGGAAGCAGUGGGGAAUUUUGGACAAUGGGCGAAAGCCUGAUCCAGCAAUGCCGCGUGCAGGAAGAAGGCCUUCGGGUUGUAGACUGCUUUUGUACGGAGCGAAAAGGUCUCCUCUAAUACAGGGGGCUCAUGACGGUACCGUAAGAAUAAGCACCGGCUAACUACGUGCCAGCAGCCGCGGUAA
rnacentral:rRNA from 1 species